rnacentral:rRNA from 1 species
AGAGUUUGAUCCUGGCUCAGAGUGAACGCUGGCGGUAGGCCUAACACAUGCAAGUCGAACGGCAGCACAGUAAGAGCUUGCUCUUACGGGUGGCGAGUGGCGGACGGGUGAGGAAUACAUCGGAAUCUACUUUUUCGUGGGGGAUAACGUAGGGAAACUUACGCUAAUACCGCAUACGACCUACGGGUGAAAGCAGGGGAUCUUCGGACCUUGCGCGAUUGAAUGAGCCGAUGUCGGAUUAGCUAGUUGGCGGGGUAAAGGCCCACCAAGGCGACGAUCCGUAGCUGGUCUGAGAGGAUGAUCAGCCACACUGGAACUGAGACACGGUCCAGACUCCUACGGGAGGCAGCAGUGGGGAAUAUUGGACAAUGGGCGCAAGCCUGAUCCAGCCAUACCGCGUGGGUGAAGAAGGCCUUCGGGUUGUAAAGCCCUUUUGUUGGGAAAGAAAUCCAGCUGGUUAAUACCCGGUUGGGAUGACGGUACCCAAAGAAUAAGCACCGGCUAACUUCGUGCCAGCAGCCGCGGUAAUACGAAGGGUGCAAGCGUUACUCGGAAUUACUGGGCGUAAAGCGUGCGUAGGUGGUCGUUUAAGUCUGUUGUGAAAGCCCUGGGCUCAACCUGGGAACUGCAGUGGAAACUGGACGACUAGAGUGUGGUAGAGGGUAGCGGAAUUCCUGGUGUAGCAGUGAAAUGCGUAGAGAUCAGGAGGAACAUCCAUGGCGAAAGCAGCUACCUGGACCAA